AUUCCAGACACCAUUGAACUGCUCUACAACACCUUCCAAUCUUGGAAAAUGUAGUAGAGCAGUUAAGUGGUGUCUGGAUU